UGCCAGCAGCCGCGGUAAUACGUAUGGUGCAAGCGUUGUCCGGAAUUACUGGGCGUAAAGAGUUCGUAGGCGGUUAGAUUAGUCAGAAGUGAAAGGCUACGGCUCAACCGUAGUAAGCUUUUGAAACUGUCUAACUUGAGUACUGGAGAGGAAAGCGGAAUUCCUAGUGUAGCGGUGAAAUGCGUAGAUAUUAGGAAGAACACCAGUGGCGAAGGCGGCUUUCUGGACAGUAACUGACGCUGAGGAACGAAAGCGUGGGGAGCGAACAGGAUUAGAAACCCCCGUAGUCC
rnacentral:rRNA from 1 species